AGAUGGGCCCGCGUACCAUUAGCUUGUUGGUGGGGUAACGGCCUACCAAGGCCACGAUGGUUAGCUGGUCUGAGAGGAUGAUCAGCCACACUGGAACUGACACACGGUCCAGACUCCUACGGGAGGCAGCAGUGAGGAAUUUUGCGCAAUGGGCGAAAGCCUGACGCAGCAACGCCGCGUGAGUGAUGAAGGCCUUCGGGUCGUAAAGCUCUGUCAAGUGGGAAGAACCUAUAUAGUGAUAAUACCAUUAUAUACUGACGGUACCACUGAAGGAAGCACCGGCUAACUCCGUGCCAGCAGCCGCGGUAAUACGGGGGGUGCAAGCGUUAUUCGGAAUCAUUGGGCGUAAAGAGCACGUAGGCGGCCUGGUAAGUCAGAUGUGAAAGCCCGGGGCUUAACCCCGGAAGUGCAUUUGAUACUGCCAGACUUGAGUAUGGGAGAGGGAAGUGGAAUUCCUGGUGUAGAGGUGAAAUUCGUAGAUAUCAGGAGGAACACCGGUGGCGAAGGCGACUUCCUGGACCAAUACUGACGCUGAGGUGCGAAGGCGUGGGUAGCAAACAGGAUUAGAUACCCUGGUAGUCCACGCAGUAAACGUUGUUCACUAGGUGUAGCGGGUAUUGACCCCUGCUGUGCCGCAGUUAACGCAUUAA
rnacentral:rRNA from 1 species